rnacentral:rRNA from 1 species
UUAAGCGACUAAGCGUACACGGUGGAUGCCCUGGCAGUCAGAGGCGAUGAAGGACGUGCUAAUCUGCGAUAAGCGUCGGUGAGGUGAUAUGAACCGUUAUAACCGGCGAUUUCCGAAUGGGGAAACCCAGUGUGUUUCGACACACUAUCAUUAACUGAAUCCAUAGGUUAAUGAGGCGAACCGGGGGAACUGAAACAUCUAAGUACCCCGAGGAAAAGAAAUCAACCGAGAUUCCCCCAGUAGCGGCGAGCGAACGGGGAGCAGCCCAGAGCCUGAAUCAGUGUGUGUGUUAGUGGAAGCGUCUGGAAAGGCGCGCGAUACAGGGUGACAGCCCCGUACACAAAAAUGCACAUGCUGUGAGCUCGAUGAGUAGGGCGGGACACGUGGUAUCCUGUCUGAAUAUGGGGGGACCAUCCUCCAAGGCUAAAUACUCCUGACUGACCGAUAGUGAACCAGUACCGUGAGGGAAAGGCGAAAAGAACCCCGGCGAGGGGAGUGAAAAAGAACCUGAAACCGUGUACGUACAAGCAGUGGGAGCCUCUUUAUGGGGUGACUGCGUACCUUUUGUAUAAUGGGUCAGCGACUUAUAUUCUGUAGCAAGGUUAACCGAAUAGGGGAGCCGAAGGGAAACCGAGUCUUAACUGGGCGUUAAGUUGCAGGGUAUAGACCCGAAACCCGGUGAUCUAGCCAUGGGCAGGUUGAAGGUUGGGUAACACUAACUGGAGGACCGAACCGACUAAUGUUGAAAAAUUAGCGGAUGACUUGUGGCUGGGGGUGAAAGGCCAAUCAAACCGGGAGAUAGCUGGUUCUCCCCGAAAGCUAUUUAGGUAGCGCCUCGUGAAUUCAUCUCCGGGGGUAGAGCACUGUUUCGGCAAGGGGGUCAUCCCGACUUACCAACCCGAUGCAAACUGCGAAUACCGGAGAAUGUUAUCACGGGAGACACACGGCGGGUGCUAACGUCCGUCGUGAAGAGGGAAACAACCCAGACCGCCAGCUAAGGUCCCAAAGUCAUGGUUAAGUGGGAAACGAUGUGGGAAGGCCCAGACAGCCAGGAUGUUGGCUUAGAAGCAGCCAUCAUUUAAAGAAAGCGUAAUAGCUCACUGGUCGAGUCGGCCUGCGCGGAAGAUGUAACGGGGCUAAACCAUGCACCGAAGCUGCGGCAGCGACGCUUAUGCGUUGUUGGGUAGGGGAGCGUUCUGUAAGCCUGCGAAGGUGUGCUGUGAGGUAUGCUGGAGGUAUCAGAAGUGCGAAUGCUGACAUAAGUAACGAUAAAGCGGGUGAAAAGCCCGCUCGCCGGAAGACCAAGGGUUCCUGUCCAACGUUAAUCGGGGCAGGGUGAGUCGACCCCUAAGGCGAGGCCGAAAGGCGUAGUCGAUGGGAAACAGGUUAAUAUUCCUGUACUUGGUGUUACUGCGAAGGGGGGACGGAGAAGGCUAUGUUGGCCGGGCGACGGUUGUCCCGGUUUAAGCGUGUAGGCUGGUUUUCCAGGCAAAUCCGGAAAAUCAAGGCUGAGGCGUGAUGACGAGGCACUACGGUGCUGAAGCAACAAAUGCCCUGCUUCCAGGAAAAGCCUCUAAGCAUCAGGUAACAUCAAAUCGUACCCCAAACCGACACAGGUGGUCAGGUAGAGAAUACCAAGGCGCUUGAGAGAACUCGGGUGAAGGAACUAGGCAAAAUGGUGCCGUAACUUCGGGAGAAGGCACGCUGAUAUGUAGGUGAAGCGACUUGCUCGUGGAGCUGAAAUCAGUCGAAGAUACCAGCUGGCUGCAACUGUUUAUUAAAAACACAGCACUGUGCAAACACGAAAGUGGACGUAUACGGUGUGACGCCUGCCCGGUGCCGGAAGGUUAAUUGAUGGGGUUAGCGGUAACGCGAAGCUCUUGAUCGAAGCCCCGGUAAACGGCGGCCGUAACUAUAACGGUCCUAAGGUAGCGAAAUUCCUUGUCGGGU